UACGUAGGGAGCAAGCGUUGUCCGGAAUUACUGGGUGUAAAGGGAGCGUAGGCGGAAUGGAAAGUUGAAUGUUAAAUCCAUCGGCUCAACCGGUGGCUGCGUUCAAAACUUCCGUUCUUGAGUGAAGUAGAGGCAGGCGGAAUUCCUAGUGUAGCGGUGAAAUGCGUAGAUAUUAGGAGGAACACCAGUGGCGAAGGCGGCCUGCUGGGCUUUAACUGACGCUGAGGCUCGAAAGCGUGGGGAGCAAACAGGAUUAGAUACCCUGGUAGUCCACGCCGUAAACGAUGAUUACUAGGUGUGGGGGGACUGACCCCUUCCGUGCCGCAGUUAACACAAUAAGUAAUCCACCUGGGGAGUACGGCCGCAAGGUUGAA
rnacentral:rRNA from 1 species